rnacentral:piRNA from 1 species
AUUUGCCCACAGUUCUGAUUGGCUC